rnacentral:lncRNA from 1 species
UUUGUAUUGGAACUCUCAAUCCAGGAUCAGAGGGAAGCUGUGCAACAUCAACAUCCCCAACAUCUCCACUAUUUCCAACAUCUCCAAUAUCCUCAACAUUUCCAACGUCACCAAUACCCCCAAAUCCAACAUCAACAUCUCCAACCUCUCCAAUACCCCCAACGUCUCCAACAUCCCCAACAUCUCCAACAUCAACAUCUCCAAUACCCCCAACAUCAACAUCUCGAACAUUGUUUUCAUCCCUUUUCUUUCGAACAUUCCUUUCAUCAAUAUUUUGUUCAUCACAGGAAAUCGCAGAUGUACGUUUAAAGUAUUUUUCCAUAACUGAAACAAACCAAAAAUGAAAAAUCAACAUGAUUAGAAAUGCCUAAAUCAGUUUAUACUAUGUCAUACCUAAUUUCCUACCAAAAGUCAGACAGUUUCAAAUUUUCAAUCUUCCCAAUUCCAAAUCAAUAUUAUCAAUUUACAUAUAAAUAAGUAACAAACCCAAAAUCAGAAAUUGGUCAAUUUCCUAAAUCAAAGCCCUAAAUCAGAAUUCAGAAAUCCCUAAAUUACAUUUAUU